rnacentral:rRNA from 1 species
UACGUGAUAGCGUGUGGUUGGCACCGACCCUCGCCAUAGGAACCCAAGGUGCUCAGUUGGACAUCCUCCAAAACCUGGUGGCUAAUACACGCAGGCCCAGAUCGGCCACGGCACGACUGCGCUCAAGUUGUCUCAUCCCGCUUGCGCCAUUUUCGGUGGCCGAUAGCACCCAGCUGAGCGAAAGACCAGUGCCUUCAGAAGGCAGCGUGCUUGUGGUUGAUUCAGGCUGGUCCCGAUCGAACCCAUCCGUGGUCAGGGCGGUCACCGUGUGGCGUGCGCGCUCCCUCGGGGGCCCACGUCCCGCGCCCGCUCUGGGGUGGGACAAACCGUGCUGGCAGAGAGUUGGUGCGGCCCUCCCCCCGCGGGGGGGUCGCACGCACUGCUUGAUCACACGAACUUCUGACCUAUCAGCUCUGACUGUGGUGUAGUGGACCACAGUGGCGGUGACGGGUAACGGAGAAUCAGGGUUCGAUUCCGGAGAGGGAGCCUGAGAGACGGCUACCACUACCAAGGUGGGCAGCAGGCGCGCAAAUUGCCCAAUCCAAACACAUCUGGGAGGCAGCGACGAACUGCAGCAAUCCCGCUGGCCUUUCACGCCAGCGGGACUUGGAAUGGAUGCAAUCCAAA